GAGAGAGAGAGAGAGAGAGAGAGAGAGAGAGAGAGAGAGAGAGAGAGAGAGAGAGGUGGCGGUGCGAGUGGCAGGCAGAGAGAUAGAGGGAUUUGUAAGGCACUUGUAUUUGCAAACGACUGGCCGAGUUCCCAUUGGAAGCAGGCAGGGGAUCACACAGAGACGCAGUGUGUCGGAGCGUGUGUCUGGUGGAGAGGGAGAGAGAGAGAGAGAGAGAGGGGAGGGAGGAGAGAGAGAGAGAGAGAGGGGAGGGAGGAGAGAGAGAGAGAGAGAGAGAGAGAGAGAGAGAGAGAGAGAGAGAGAGAGAGAGAGAGAGAGAGAGAGAGAGAGAGAGAGAGAGAGAGAGAGAGAGAGAGAGAAACGAAGAGCGCCCGUUCCACUCAUUUCCCCUCAUUUCUACAGCAACUUUCCAGCGUGUGCACUUGAGGGAAGUUACUCCCCGGCUAUGGAAGCUUUUGUUUUCUUUCUCUUUUUGUUCCCACGAGCGCGUCCUUCCCCCCCCCCCCCCCCCCUUCAGAAAGGGGGGAGAAGGAAGAAGAAAACAAAUCGCAUAAUCGUCAGCUGUCCGUUAGCUGCCUGGGAUGGGCGGAGUGAGUGUGUGUGUGUGUGUGUGUGUGUGAGAGAGAGGAAAUGUGAGGACAUCACUGGGGGAGAGAAGAGCAGGAACUGGAAGCUUGGCAAGGUGAGAGUCUUGUUAGCAGGCUUUUCACCCCAGCAGAGGAAAAUAGAUAAUAGUAUUCACCAAAGCCACAGGACCUAGACUAUUUCAGGAAACCCCAAACCACGGCUCUCCACCUCUCCUGGCUUCCUAUCCACGUCAUUAGGGACUCAACGUCAACAUGGGUGGUAACAAAACUUGGCAGCGACAAACUCGUUGUGGGCCAAGAGAGAGGAGCACAUUACUUUAUAUAACUGCUGGGCUAAAAACUGCAUUUCAAAAGUGGUGUGGAGACAAACCCAGCUGAACACGAGCUGGGACGGCCGACCGGCAGAGGCCGUGCUCCCCUGGUGCCCUCGGUGAACAUUCAACGCUGUCGGUGAGUUUGAGCCACUGUCCAAAACCAUCGACCGUUGACUGUACCCCUAGGCCACCACAGUGCAGCCACCAGGCAGCCAAAGAGACUGUACCCCACAAGCACCCCCUACCCCCCCCCCCCCCACACACACACACACACACACACCCUGCGUCUGCCACCCUAGCAACCAGCUGAAGAGGAGACAAGACACCCCACAGAGAGAAGACCUCCGCCUGCUCAGCCUCCGUCAGCGCCUGGGCCGGCGCCAACACACACCCGAGGCCCAACUCUUAAGGCUGCAAUAAACAUUCAUUGCUGUCGGUGGGUUUACAUGAGAACAACUCACUGAUCAAUGAAUGCAGACUGCGGUACAAACACCUCGAGGCCUCGACUGAAGCUAGGAGGUACGAGAGGGACCACAGAUGAGUCACUGAAGAAGCUCUCUCUACCCAGAUGUACGGAGAUUAGCAACAACUCUGCAAACCCACAUGACCUUACCAUUAAACAUCAUCCGACUUUGUUUUGUAAUGGUGUCUGAUACCGUGGUACUGAUAUGGUUUGACCAUAGUUAUUAAUGACCCGUCGACACAUGAUCCUUUUGACACGCACAGUAUAUUUGUAUACAGUAAAUGCAAUACAUAAAGAUGACGUGUAAAUAGGUCAAAACAUUUGCAAAACAGGGGAACGAUGUUAACUGUUAUGUGUGAGGGUAUCAUCGAUAGUUUUUCAAAGGGUUAUGUUUUUUCGAAGUGAAGCAGGGAGUCCCAGAGUGGGGCUGUCUGAUGGGGCAGCUGCAGGGUGCAGACCACAGCACUCCCCACACAGCUGGGAGUGUUCAGCCUUUCACCGUGCCAAAACAAUACAGCCUGAAAUAGGAGUUUCAACUCAGCAAAUUCACUGUGGCAAGAACAAUCACAGGGGUGAAGCAGAGCAACACGUUUUCACACAAACUUUCAGAUUUGGUUCAAGUGGACCUUCUCAAAUAAAACUGAAACAAUCUGCGAGCCUGAUUCUUGGAAAGUUAAUUUCCCCUUCGCUGUCGGUAAUUGGAGGAGAUACAGACAUAUGGAAAUAAUUUCACAGUAAUUGCCCUGUAGGGUUAUGUUAACAUUCUGGGGAAUUUCAAGCACAUUGACAUUCUCCAGUCAAGCCAGACCUAAAGCAUGUUUUAUCAUUUAUUUACAGUGGGAAGUGUCUGACAGAGCUAUAAGAACCAGCCUGGGUCAUCUGUCUUUAAACUGAUAAACUGUGUUCUGUUAUUUCACCAGGGAAUAUCACCGCAAUACAAUCCACGUGUAUCUGAUAUCAGUUUGGCGAAAAUCAUUAAACGUUUCUUUCCUACA